CCUGCCCACUGCCCCCAUGUCACCCCCUGUGCAUUAAGCCCUACGUCCGUCUGCUGAGGGUAACCAUCUCUCUCCCUUGCUCUGGGCCGUUUUGCAAGGUUGCAGAGUAGGACCUGUCAGCUGACACUUGGUCACAGGAGAGCCAUUCACAGGGUGGUGGCCAGUGUCAGAACAACCUUGCAGCUGAAGGCGAGUCACUGCAUUUCUCUCACAGCCCUGUGAGCCCUGUGAGCCAUAUUCAGAGGUCUUGUGAUGAAUUAAUUGGCUACGACGUCAUCCCCAGCAGGGCCACAGAUGGAAUGAGUCAGUCCGAGCUGCUCAGCCGGUUGAGUGUUUUUGUCUUUUGUAACCGGAGCACAAACCCAGGAACAGAAGUAGGAAGUGGGACUUGGACUUGUCAGAUUGUAAUGGCUUUGCCGAGAGCGUGUUUUACAGUGUGAGGGAUGCAUCUGACUUCCCAAAUCAUCGGAGGGCUUAAUUUACCUAAUAAGCGAAUGUUCCUGUUUUGUUUUUGUGUAACUUCUGGAAGAGGAAAUUAGUAGGCUGCAGCCGGGGAGCUCGUGUCACCUCCCGCAUCCGUACGGGGAGCGCAGGGAUCAUUUAAAGCACGGCUGGUCACUGAGGAAAUCCUCCAACAACGGGACCUUCCAGGUCCACGCGGAGAGUCAGGACCACCCAGAAGAGGGCUGGCCCGCCGAGGAGAUGUGUGGCUGCUCAGCCAGGAGCACAGCCCGGCCGGGGGGCCGGCGGGACGCGGCCGGGGGUGUGAGCGAUGGGCAGACGCACGGGACACUUGCGCGCUCGAGGAUUUGCAAGUGCGCCGGGGUGGGAAGGGUCACCGAUCCCCCGGAACUCGACAACAGUUGGUCCUGUUCGGAGUUGGACCUGAACGAGAUUCGCCUGAUAGUUUACCAGGACUGUGAGAGGAGAGGCAGACAAGUCUUGUUUGACUCUAAAGCUGUUCACAAGAUCGAGGAGGCGGCAGCUCAGAGAACGGAGGACGUCCCCACGAAAACGCCAGCCAAGUGCUGUCAAGGCGGUGGCAGCGGCAGCCUCUCUUCCCACGGCUCUUCCGGGGGAUCUUUACCACAUGCCAAGGAGCAGCUUCCAAAGUACCAGUACACGCGCCCCGCCUCUGAUGUCAACAUGCUUGGGGAGAUGAUGUUCGGCUCGGUCGCCAUGAGCUACAAAGGCUCCACCCUGAAGAUUCACUACAUACGUUCUCCUCCACAGCUGAUGGUUAGUAAAGUCUUCUCCGCCAGAAUGGGCAGCUUCUGUGGGAGUACAAAUAACUUGCAAGACAGCUUCGAAUAUAUCAACCAAGAUCCUAACCUGGGGAAACUGAACACAAAUCAGAAUAACCUGGGCCCCUGUCGUACUGGAAGUAACCUAGGUGUGCUGCAGGGAUGCGGCAGCAAACUGCCCCCGGGGGCGGCUGAAGGAGGACCGCUCCGGCUCAGCCGCAGUGCCUCUUUCUUUGCAGUGCACAGCACUCCGGUCGACAUGCCGAGCAGAGGGCAGAGCGAAGACAGGGACAGCGGCAUCGCCCGCUCAGCCUCCCUGAGCAGCCUUCUGAUCACACCGUUCCCGUCUCCAAGCUCCUCUACGUCCUCCUCCAGCAGUUACCAGCGCCGCUGGCUUCGGAGCCAGACCACGAGCUUGGAAAACGGCAUCAUUCCCAGGAGGUCAACGGAUGAGACGUUCAGCUUGGCCGAAGAAACCUGCAGUUCCAACCCGGCCAUAGCUCGGAGGAAGAAGAUUGCCAUAAGCCUCAUCUUUUCCCUGUGCGAGACGGAGGAAGCCCAGAGGAACUUCCAGGACUUCUUUUUUUCUCAUUUCCCCCUGUUUGAGUCUCACAUGAACAGGCUGAAGAGUGCAAUUGAAAAGGCCAUGAUCUCGUGCAGGAAGAUCGCGGAGUCAAGUCUCCGUGUCCAGUUUUACGUCAGCCGUCUGAUGGAAGCUCUGGGGGAGUUCAGAGCGACCAUCUGGAGCUUGUACUCCGUCCCGAGGAUAGCCGAGCCCGUGUGGCUGGCCAUGAUGUCCAGCACCUUGGAGAAGACGCAGCUGUGCCAGCGCUUCCUCAAGGAAUUUACGCUCCUGAUAGAGCAGAUCAACAAGAACCAGUUUUUUGCUGCCUUGCUGACCGCAGUCUUAACCUACCACCUGGCCUGGGUGCCCACCGUCAUGCCCGUUGACCACCCUCCCAUCAAAGCCUUCUCCGAGAAACGCACCUCUCAGCUGGUCAACACGCUGGCCAAGACACACCCAUACAAUCCUCUCUGGGCGCAGCUGGGCGACCUUUACGGGGCCAUCGGCUCUCCGGUGCGACUGACCCGCACGGUGGUGCUGGGGAAGCAGAAGGACCUGGUGCAGCGCAUACUGUACGUGCUGACCUACUUCCUGCGGUGCUCGGAGCUGCAGGAGAACCAGCUGACGUGCAGCGGGGCCUGGGGGCCAGACGAGCAGGCGCUGGCGGGGGGCAGCAUCAUCACGGCCCUGGAGAGGGGCGAGGUGGAGGAGUCCGAGUACGUGGUGGUCACGGUGAGGAGCGAGCCCGCCCUUCUGCCGCCGCACACUGACACCGGAGACCUCUGUCCCCACCUCGCCGGACGAGGAGUCCGGGGGCCGGAGCAGAGCCCCGUGGCCCGCGGCACCCGGAGACCUCGGGGCGCGUCGUGUGGGGACGAGGAGAGUACGGAGGAGGCGCCCCGCGGCGGCUCCGCGAGACUCCCAAGCGGCGCAGGUGCGUGCGCGGGGCCGGCCGGCGGGGAGGGGUCGGGAGGGGAGAUGCCCAAGAAGCUGCCCAACCGCUCGGCGGCCAGGCCGUGCCCUGAGGGGCGUCCCUGGGAGAAGGUCACCUUCCACAUCGGGAGCUCCGUGUCUCCGGACUCGGACUUUGAAAGUCGCACCAAAGCGAUGGAGGAGCGGCUGCGGGCCUGCAGGUGUGCGGAGCCAGCGCGCCGACCCCCGGCUGGGCCCGACGCGGCCCGGGAGGCCCGGGACUGGCGGGCUCCGAGGUGCUCCCGGGCCCCCGAGGCAUCUGCGGGGACCCGCGGCGUCAGGACCGGGGCCGCCAAGGAGGCUGCGGAGACGCCCGGCGCACCUGCCGCCCGGGGCGCACCUGUCGACCCCGCGCACGCGCCAGUGAAGCCGUGGGGUCGGGGCGGGGAGAACGCGGACGGGCCUGCGCCGAGCGGGUGCGCGGCCGCAGUGCCGCGCGAGGACGCCGGCUUCAGGCGGGAAGGAGGUCUCCCCAGGAACGAAAGCUCGGACAGCGCCCUCGGCGACAGUGACGACGACCCGUGUGCGCCGGCCUCGCCGGACCUGGGUCCCGGCAGUGACGGUGACAGUGAGCAUGACCGGCCCGAAGGCUCGCUGGAGGUGGAGCUGCCGCUGCCCAGGUCUCAGAGCGUCAGCGCCCCGAACGUGAGAAACUUCGGCCGCUCCCUCCUGGCGGGUUACUGCCCCACGUACAUGCCAGACCUGGCGCUUCACGGGACCGGCAGCGAUGAGAAGCUGAAGCAGUGCCUGGCCGCCGACCUGGUCCACACGGUCCAGCACCCCGUGCUCGACGAGCCCAUCGCUGAGGCCGUGUGCAUCAUUGCAGACACGGACAAGUGGAGCGUCCAGGUGGCCACGAGUCAGAGGAAGGCGGUAGACAGCACGAAACUCGGCCAGGACGUCCUGGUCUCAAGCCAGGUGUCCAGCUUGCUUCAGUCCAUCCUCCAGCUUUACAGGCUUCACCUCCCCGCCGACUUUGAAUGCCACUGUUGUAUAUAAACUGCGGCGAGAUUUUACUUUGGAAGGUUGAGGAUUUCAGCAAGAACUGACAUCCAUUUGGAAAACCCUAUUACCCGUAGCUGUGCUCCUCAUGAAGUCUGUCACCAGCACAGUGUUCUGUGCCUUGCCCUCUGUAUCAUCUCUGCUUGUAGCGGUGGCCUUCGUGGAGGUUCCAUCCAGGAGUGAGUAUCUGCUUCGUUCAUUAUAUUUUCUAAUCUACUAGUGCCCCAAUGUCUGUGUAUUAAAGUAUAUGUUAAUAUAAGUUGUCAAAUAGUACAACUAGGGCAUUACAGUGGUUUGUUAUAAGUUAUGUGUGUAAGGUUAUUCUGUUGAUGAAUCUUGUGAAUUUUACUUUAGGAAAAUAAAGGGCAUUAGAAAAUAUGUGCUAUGAAAUGUAGCACCGAUACAUACGGCCUCAGGAAACAUAUGCUAUGAGGUGUAACUUUUGUAGCUACAUAAGCCCAUACUGAAUCCUGUUGUUUGCAGAAUACAGGAAGGAGUAAUAUUAGGUAUUGCUAAAUCCUUUUUGGAUUAAAGGUAAAUUUCAAGUGUUUUUCACGUUCCCUUUAAAACCACGCCUUUGAGAAAGCCCUGACACACACAUACACACCACAUUGCUCCUUGGUUCUGUCGGAUGCCUGAUAUAUGUCACCUCAUUUGAUCCUCACACGUGGAUGAGGUGGGUAUUACGAUAGCUAAUCUCAUGUGUCACCUUGGUUAGGCCACGGUACCCAGAUACCUGGUCUAACACCCGUGUGAUGUUGCCGUGAAGGCUUUUUAGAUGACAGCAACACAGAGGAGUCGGCUUUGAGUAAAGCAGGUUACCCUCCGUACGGUGGGGCGUCUCCCCGGUCAGUUGAAGGACUUCAGAGAAACAGACUGAGAUCCCCUGAAGAAGAGGGAAUUUGGCCUACCCACGGCCUUCACACUCUUGCCUGGGUCUCCAGCCUGCUUGCCUAUGUGCAGAUUUGGGGUCUGCCAGCCUCCCCAAUCAUGUGAGCCAAUUCCUGAAGAGAAAGCUAUCCAUCUGUCUGUCGCUAUGCAUCUGUCCAUCCAUCCACCACCCAUCCAUCCAUGCAUUUGUCCCUUCAUUCAUUCAUGUCUAUCUCUACAUCAAUCCACCCACCCACCCAUCCAUUUGUCCCUUUAUCCAUUUCAUCUCUCUCUCCAUCCAUCCAUCCAUCUGUCCCUUUACCCAUCCAUUUGUCCCUUUAUCCAUUCAUCUAUCUAUCUGUCUGUCUUUCCAUCCAUCCAUCCAUUCUGUCGGUUCUGUUUCCCUGGAGAACCCUGACUAACAUAGGUACUUAAGAUAUCGGUCCAGUGACAUCCAUGAGGACCCAACAAAGCAGUUGGGAGUCAGAAUAUUGUCACACCAGGUUAUUGGAGGUUGACUUUGAAGCAAAGAUCUUUAACAUAGAGAGAGUACAGACUUCAUAGUUUCCGCUUAGAUAAGUCACAUAGUCUCUGAACAUGGGAUGCAAAGGGGGUGCUGGAGAACAGGAAGAGCCUAAAUUAGGACAACCUCUGAGACAACAGAGGAGGAGGUACCAGCUCAUUCGUGGUGGGAGAGAGGAGAUUAAUCCCCACUGCUGUGCCUUGCCCUCUGUGUUCUUGGGGGACCUCAGGCCAGCAGUCAUCAUCCCUUUCUCUCACCUUCAAGCACUCAGUCUACCGACCUUCCUCCUAGGCCCCUGCCUCCACCCCUCACCUCACAAGGUCAUGUCUGUCAGCCUCCCCUGGCUCCUCCCAUGGUUACUGAGGUCUUUCCCCACAUCCAGUCGGGACCCAGAGCUGCUGAACUUGCACUCUUUGGGUGCCAGGUGCAUCACCUGCUCUCCUUGCUCUUUCCUUCUUUCAGUCCUUCCUCAUUCUCACCUGAGUUACCAAAAUGCCCUCCAAACUCACCUCCCUUUUGUAGCAACACUUCUCACGAAUCUUCCUCCAGGCCGAUGUCUAACCAACCUUCCCCAAAUGAAAGUUUAAUCCUGUCACUUUUGUUUAAAAGUUGGCCCAGGAAAAUCCAAGCUCCUCAGCGCCUGAGCCCUCCUCUGGCCUCAGCGCCAGACGCCCACCUCUGCAGGCUGCUGGUUACUUAAAGGCGCGAGCUGACCACUGCCUGCGCCCUGUCAAUCCUUCGUCCUGGUUUCCCGCUCCCUUUUGCUCCAUCAAGGCCCCCCCUGUUCUGGCUCAAAAUGCAGCUCGGGGCAAAUCCGCCAGCGCCUUGCUACUCGGCAUCCCUGGAUCGACCAGAGCUGCCUCACCCGGGAGCUUGACGGAUGUGCAGGAUCUCAAACCCUGUCCCAGACCGACUGAACCAGGAUCUCACCUUAAUACGAUCCCCAGAUGACACAUAUGCACAUUAAAACCUUGAGAAUCACUACUCCCACACCCAGUGUGAGUGAGUGGGUGAGGGAAAGAACAUAUCAAUUACCGAGAUUAUGUCCAUGUUUUGGAAGCAAGGGGGGCAAUGAAGAUAUCUGCAAGCAAAGAAAUGAAAUAGAAAUGGAUCACGAUGUUGAAACUGUCUCACAUACACAUAAAUUUCACAACACUUAAGUAGCUAUUAUUUAUGUGGAGAUAAAAGGUCAACCAAAAGAAGGGAAAACAAAUGUAAUAGAAGAUAGAACUUCAGAGACAUUUUGUGACUUAAAGGAAGAAAUUUGGGGAAAGGUAGAAAAACAGUUUAGAAAUUUGCCCAACUGAUUUCCAGAAACAUUUCUAAGAGUAUUUUGGGUAAUGUAUACAAGAAUUAUACAUACUGUUAAAUACCAUAAAUUGCACUUCUAGAAAGUUUUAGAAACUUAGAAAUUAAUCUCUAAACUUAGGUUUAUAAGAAUAAAUCCAAACUCAACAACGUGAAUAUAAAAUAUCCCCAUUUUCAACUAUGUUGAUGAGAAAGCAUUGUGAUAUUGUGGGUUGGUUUAUGUGUUUAAAAUUUUCCCCAAACCCCCCAAUACCAUUGGCAACGUUUUGUUUUUCCAAGGCUGCUUCCAGUGCAUGGUUCUGAUUCUCGCAGCAUGAGGACGGCAUUUGGGCUGCAUCUCAGGGAAGAGGUGUAACCGAGUGAUCAGUUACCCUCACCAAUGAUGAGUUAAACUCACGUCAAGUGCCUCUUUGAUGGGAUACCCUGAGGAUGACACGGCAUCACUCACCUUGGGAUUCCUGCCCAAAACACAUCACCCGAGGAAACAGCAGAGCAUCCCUGGGGCAGGACCUACCACGGAGGAUGUCCACGGCUCCUCGCAGAGUGUUUCAGAUGGAUAUACAGUUAACUGUCAAACAGACAUCUCCUGAUGAACAGAUCUCUGGCGACAGAGGACAUCCAGCUGCUGGAGAUGCAGGGAACUACCUGCACAGGUGGACACUUAUCCAGGAAGCUUGUUGAUGCCAUCACCCUGGUACCACAACUGCUCCUGGCAUCCUUUAGAGCCGAGUAGGCAAGAUGCUGGGAAUUUGGGGGCAGGCCGAGGCCUUGAGUUCUCCUGCAGGACACGCCUGUCGGGUUUGAGACUUCGGGGAAUUCAGGGAAAAGCCAGCUUGGCGAUGACAGAAUCUGACUUUGGACAGUGCGUGGGAGGAAAGAUCCAGGCUUCACUCUCUUUCCCCAGUGAAAUCACGGUCUCCGUUCCAACUCCCCUUAAUUAGAAUAUUAUCUGAGGACUGCUUCCCCAUUGUACAGGGCCAGGUCUGGGGGAAAGGACAAGAAGGAUCGUAGGAUAAGGAUUUGCAAUCUCUUUUGGAAGGCUGUUGUCACCCAAGAGAGCUCGUGGGGCUUCUUACCUUCACGUAAGAAGCAGACCUUCAUUCUGUUUUAUGGCCAAGUAAUAUUCCAUCUUGUUUAUCUAUUCACCAGUGGAUGGAUGUUUGGGUUGGUUCCACCUUUUUUUCUACCUAGGACUAGAAUUGUGGGGUUGUAUGGUAAUUCUAUGCUUAGCUUUUUGAGAAACCACUAAACUGUUUUCCAUAACAGCUUCACCAUUUUACACUAACACCAGCAGCGUAGGAGGGUUCUAAUUUCUACACAUCCUCAUCAACGCUUGUUAUUGCCUUUUUUAUUUUACCAUCCAAGUGUGAAGUAGUAUCUCAUGUGGUUUUCAUUUGCAUUUCUCUCAUAACUAAUUAUGUUAAACAUCUUUUCAUGGGUUUAUUGACCACUUGUGCAUCUUUUUUGGAAAGCUGUCUAUUCAUAUCUUUUGCUGCAUAAUUUUAUGCAGUUGUCUUUUAAAUCAUAUAGGAAGAAAAGAGUUAAAAACCAAAAUACAUUAAUGCUGACUAUUUUUUUUGUUUUUUUUUUUGCGGUACGCGGGCCUCUCCCUGUUGUGGUCUCUCCCGUUGCGGAGCACAGGCUCCGGACGCGCAGGAUCAGCGGCCAUGGCUCAUGGGCCCAGCCGCUCCGCGGCAUGUGGGAUCUUCCCAGACCGGGGCACGAACCCGUGUCCCCUGCAUCGGCAGGCGGACUCUCAACCACUGCGCCACCAGGGAAGCCCCAUUAAUGCUGACUUUUACAUUUACCUAUGCAGUUACCGUUACCACUGGCUUGUUAAUUAUUUUGUGCCUUUGAGUUACUGUUUGUUGUCCUUUUGUUUCAACCUGAAGGACUCCCUUUAGCAUUUAGUGUAGGGCAGGUCUGCUAGGCACAAAAUUCUCUCAGUUUUUAUCUGUAAUGUCUUAAUUUCUCCUUCAUUUUUGAAGGAUAGUUUUGCUGGAUAUAGAACUUUUGGGCUAACUUGUUUUUCUUUCAGCACAUUGAAUAUAUCAUUCCACUGCUUUCUGGCUUUCAUUAUUUCUGCUGAGAAUUUAGCUGUUCAUCUUGAAGAUCCCUUGUAUACAAUGACUCAUUUUUCUUCUGCUACUUUCAAGAUUCUCUCUUUGUCUUUGCCAUUUGACAGUCCGACUAUGAUGUAUCUAAGUGUGGGUCUCUGAGUUUAUCUUACUUGGAGUUUGUUGAGCUUCUUGAAUGUGUCAGUUACUGUUUUUCAUCAAAUUUGGGAUGCUUCUGGCCAUUAUUUCAAAUAUCCCUUCUGCCCCUUCCUCUCUUCCUCUUUUCCUUCUAGGAUUCCCAUUAUGCUAUGUUGGUACACAGUCUCAGAGCUCUGUUCCUUGUGCAUUUUUUAAAAAUUCUUUUUUCUUUCCAUUUCUCAGAAUGUAUAAUCUCAGUUGAUCUAUAAUUAAGUACACUGAUUCUUUUCUGAUAGCUCAAACCUGCUAUUAAGCUCCCAUUGUGAGUUUUUCAUUUCAGUUAUUGUACUUUUCAACUCCAGAAUUUCUAUUUUUUUAUAUGUAUGAUUUCUGUCUCUUUAUUGAUAUUCUGUUUGUCAAGACCUUGUUCUCAUACUUUCCUUUAACAUUUUAGACAUGGUUUCUGCGAGGGGAGGGUCCAAGUUCAGUCCAUGCCUUCCCUUCUGUUCCCAAGAAGCUCUCUGUGCUCAGUACAGGACAUGCUGACAAGCUCACAAGUCGCACUGCAUGAAAAGACCUCAGAGCGCAGUCAGUACGUACCCGUUCCCUUUAUCUGGAGCACGUGUAAACUUUCUCAGAACCGCUUAGCUAUGCAUGCGUAAAUGGCCCACAGGUACACCCCCAACUUUGUGUAUUUCUGACUCUAAGGGGUAAGAGUUGGGGUCCUUCUACCACGGCACAAAGUGAGGCGAAUGCAGCCACGCUGCCCACUGCAGCUGCCAGGUGGACCCACGAGCCAUGGGGGUCUGCCACACCGCAAGGAGGUGGAUCCUGUGUACUCUCUCCUCUUGACGUAGGUACACAAUGUACCAUUUGAGCCUGCACGCCUGUUGUCUGCUCUCAGUGACCUUGAGUCAUGCACUGGCCUCUUCCCUGGCUGGCACGCACCUGCCUGUUAGCUCUGGCCACACUCAUGUUCUAUUCUACUCUAUCCUCUGGCACAGUCUAGCCACCUGCAGAAGCAGUCUCCCUUAGUAUCUUGAGCCUAUUUGAAAUAGCCGACUUAAAGCCUCUGUCAGCUAAAUAUAGCCAUGCUUCCUUCGAGACAGUUUCUGUUGAUCGCUUUCUUUCCCUGUGUAUCAGCCACACUUUCCUGUUCCUGUUCCUGUUCCUCAUAAUUUUUCUGUUGAUAAAUUGACAUUUGAAAUAAUAUACUGUGCCAACUCUGGAAAUGAGAUUUUCUCCCUCUCCCCAGGGCUUGUUGUUCCUGCUUGUUUUGUUUUUUUUUUUCUCUUUGUUGUUGUUUUUGUUGCUUUUUGUUUGUUUUCGGUGGUGGUGGUGAUGUUGCUGUUGUUUACUUUCCUGGACUAAUUGUUUAAAGUCUGUCAUGUGUGCCCCCUGAAUUUUCUGCUUGGUUAGCUUAGUGGUCAGCUAAUGAUUGGACAGAAAUCUCCUUAAAUGCCUCAAAUCCAUGUGUUUUCUGGUCUUUGUUUGUGUCUAGGCAUACCUUCAAUGCCCCAGCAGACAGUUUACAACUCUGCCUUAGCCUUCGUUUCCUGCUUUCAUGGAGCUUCAAGGUUAGCCAAAGGUCAGAGAUUAGGACCUUCCGGGGCCUUGCCUGGACAUGUGCACAGCACUGCACGUGUGCACAGCCUCCUAGAUUUCUAGGCAUAUGUUAGAGCUUUUUGAAAUCCUCUAGAGACAUGUCAUUUCCCAGUUUUUUCCUUAAAGAUUUUUGGUCAGCUUCUUGUGUGCCCCAACUUGUAUUGCCCUCGUCCCCCCAGGUGACUGUGAUAUUAAAUGAUUGUUGUUUUUGACGGGUGCUUGUGAGACAGAGAUGUUCAUACAGAGUCAGGUCAAAUAAUGACAAGCCCUGAGAAUGGAGAUUUUCCAGGGAUUUUCAAGACAGAGCGAGUAAUGAAACAAAACAAAAAGAUAAUCUACUGAAUGGGAGAAAAUAUCUGCACAUGAUAUGACCAAUAAGGGAUUAAUAUCCAUCAUAUAUAAACAGCUCAUACAACUCAACAUCAAAAAACAAACAACCUGAUUAAAAAAUGGGCAGAAGACCUGCAUAGACAUUUUUCUAAAGAGGAAAUGCAGAUGGUCAAAAGAUAUAUGAAAAUAUGGUCAACAUCUCUAAUCAUCAGGGAAAUGCAAAUCAAAACUACAAUGAACUAUCACCUCACACCUGUCAGAAUGGCCAUGAUUAAAAAGAACACGCUAAUAAAGAUGUUAAAAAUACACAAAUAACAAAUGUUGGCAAGGAUGUGGAGCAAAGGGAACACUGGUACACUGUUGGUGGGAAUGUAAAUUGGUGCAGCCACUAUGCAAAACAGUAUGGAGGUUCCUCAAAAAACUAAAAAUAGAGCUACCAUAGGACUCAGCAAUUCCACUCCUGGGCAUAUAUCUGGAGAAAACUAUGAUUCAAAAAGGUACAUGCACCCCAAUGUUCACAGCAGCGUUGUUUACAAUAGUCAAGGUAUGGAAGCAACCUAAGUGUCCAUUGAUAGAUGAAUGGAUUAAGAUGUGGUGUAUAUAUACAAUGGGAUACUACUCAGCCAUAAAAAAGAACGAAAUUUUGCCAUUUGUGACAACAUGGAUGGACUUGGAGGGCAUCGUGCUCAGUGAAAUAAGUCAGACAGAGACAAUACUGUGUGGCGCCACUCACAUGUGGAAUCUAAAAAGCACAAGAAAUUAGUGAACACAACAAAAAAGGAGGAGACUCACAGAUACAGAGAACAAACCAGUGGUUACCAGUGGGGAGAGAGGGAAGAGGCAAUACAGAGGUCGGGGGGGAGUGGGAGAUACAAACUAUUAGGUGUAAGGUGGGCUCAAGGGUGUACGUUCAACACGGAGAAUAUGGCCAAUAUUUUGUAAUAACUCUAAAUGGAAAUUAACUUUUUAAAUUGUAUAAAAAAUUUAAAAAUUAAAGUUAAAAACAUAAA